GCAAUACAGGAGCGGCAGACGGGUGAGUAACACGUGGGAACGUGCCCUUUGGUUCGGAACAACCCAGGGAAACUUGGGCUAAUACCGGAUACGUCCGUAAGGAGAAAGAUUUAUCGCCAAAGGAUCGGCCCGCGUCUGAUUAGCUAGUUGGUGAGGUAACGGCUCACCAAGGCUACGAUCAGUAGCUGGUCUGAGAGGAUGAUCAGCCACACUGGGACUGAGACACGGCCCAGACUCCUACGGGAGGCAGCAGUGGGGAAUCUUGGACAAUGGGCGCAAGCCUGAUCCAGCCAUGCCGCGUGAGUGAUGAAGGCCCUAGGG
rnacentral:rRNA from 1 species